UAAAUUCUCAACGAUGGAUAUCUAGGUUCCCAUAACGAUGAAGAACGCAGCGAAGUGCGAUAAGCAAUGCGAAUUGCAGAACCGUGAGUCAUCAGAUUUUUGAACGCAAU
rnacentral:rRNA from 1 species